UACAGAGGCCCCAAGCGUUACUGAGAAUCACUGGGUUUAAAGGGUGCGUAGGUGGCGCGUUAAGUCCGUUGUGAAAUCCCGGGGCUCAACCUCGGAACUGCCUUUGAUACUGCGAAUCUUGAGUCCGAUAGAGGUGGGUGGAAUUCCUAGUGUAGAGGUGAAAUUCGUAGAUAUUAGGAAGAACACCAGUGGCGAAGGCGGCCCACUGGAUCGGUACUGACGCUGAGGUGCGAAAGCGUGGGGAGCAAACAGG
rnacentral:rRNA from 1 species